UGCGCAGGCGGGCUUGUGAGUCAGUGGUGAAAUACUGCCGCUUAACGGUAGAACUGCCAUUGAUACUGCAAGUCUUGAAUAUGGUUGAGGUAGGCGGAAUGUGUUGUGUAGCGGUGAAAUGCAUAGAUAUGACACAGAACGCCGAUUGCGAAGGCAGCUUACUAAGCCAUUAUUGACGCUGAGGCACGAAAGCGUGGGGAGCGAACAGGAUUAGAUACCCUGGUAGUCC
rnacentral:rRNA from 1 species